UACGUAGGGUGCAGGCGUUAAUCGGAAUUACUGGGCGUAAAGCGUGCGCAGGCGGUUUGCUAAGACAGGUGUGAAAUCCCCGGGCUUAACCUGGGAACUGCGCUUGUAACUGGCAAGCUGGAGUGUGGCAGAGGGGGGUGGAAUUCCACGUGCAGCAGUGAAAUGCGUAGAGAUGUGGAGGAACACCGAUGGCGAAGGCAGCCCCCUGGGCUAACACUGACGCUCAUGCACGAAAGCGUGGGAGCAAACAGG
rnacentral:rRNA from 1 species